rnacentral:rRNA from 1 species
GACGAACGCUGGCGGCGUGCUUAACACAUGCAAGUCGAACGAAGAGCGACGGAAGCUUGCUUCUAUCAAUCUUAGUGGCGAACGGGUGAGUAACGCGUAAUCAACCUGCCCUUCAGAGGGGGACAGCAGUUGGAAACGACUGCUAAUACCGCAUACGAUCUAAUCUCGGCAUCGAGGAUGGAUGAAAGGUGGCCUCUACAUGUAAGCUAUCACUGAAGGAGGGGAUUGCGUCUGAUUAGCUAGUUGGAGGGGUAACGGCCCACCAAGGCGAUGAUCAGUAGCCGGUCUGAGAGGAUGAACGGCCACAUUGGGACUGAGACACGGCCCAGACUCCUACGGGAGGCAGCAGUGGGGAAUCUUCCGCAAUGGACGAAAGUCUGACGGAGCAACGCCGCGUGAGUGAUGACGGCCUUCGGGUUGUAAAGCUCUGUUAAUCGGGACGAAAGGCCUUCUUGCGAA